rnacentral:rRNA from 1 species
AACGAACGCUGGCGGCAUGCCUAACACAUGCAAGUCGAACGAUGCCUUCGGGCAUAGUGGCGCACGGGUGCGUAACGCGUGGGAAUCUGCCUUUCGGUUCGGAAUAACUCAGGGAAACUUGAGCUAAUACCGGAUAACGUCGCAAGACCAAAGAUUUAUCACCGAAAGAUGAGCCCGCGUAGGAUUAGCUAGUUGGUGAGGUAAAGGCUCACCAAGGCGACGAUCCUUAGCUGGUCUGAGAGGAUGAUCAGCCACACUGGGACUGAGACACGGCCCAGACUCCUACGGGAGGCAGCAGUGGGGAAUAUUGGACAAUGGGCGAAAGCCUGAUCCAGCGAUGCCGCGUGAGUGAUGAAGGGCUUAGGGUUGUAGCUCUUUUAACCGGGAAGAUAAUGACGGUACCGGGAGAAUAAGCCCCGGCUAACUCCGUG